UACGUAGGGACCAAGCGUUGUUCGGAUUUACUGGGCGUAAAGGGCGCGUAGGCGGCGUGGUAAGUCACUUGUGAAAUCUCUGAGCUUAACUCAGAACGGUCAAGUGAUACUGCUGUGCUAGAGUGCAGAAGGGGCAAUCGGAAUUCUUGGUGUAGCGGUGAAAUGCGUAGAUAUCAAGAGGAACACCUGAGGUGAAGACGGGUUGCUGGGCCGACACUGACGCUGAAGCGCGAAAGCCAGGGGAGCAAACAGG
rnacentral:rRNA from 1 species